rnacentral:tRNA from 1 species
ACCUGGCUGGCUUAGUCAGUAGAGCAUGAGACUCUCGAUCUCAGGGUCAUGAGUUUUGAGCCCCAUGUUGGGCA